rnacentral:rRNA from 1 species
GAGAGCCUGAACCAGCCAAGUAGCGUGCAGGAAGACGGCCCUAUGGGUUGUAAACUGCUUUUGAAGGGGAAUAAAGGGGUCUACGUGUAGAUCUUUGCAUGUACCUUUCGAAUAAGGAUCGGCUAACUCCGUGCCAGCAGCCGCGGUAAUA